AAAACAAUGACAUGGGUUACUCCACAGGCGACUGAUGUACUUGAACUUUUUAUUUACCUUGGCGAGCCUUGUCAUGUUUGUCAGCUACUUCUCACUAUUGCACAUGGUUCUGAUGAUUCAACGUUCCCAUCAACAGUUGAUGUCAGGACAGGGCGUUAUCUGGAUGGUCUUAAACUUGUUCUGGAGGGAGCUUCUAUUCCUCAGUGUGCAAAUGGGACUAAUAUUUUGAUUCCAUUGUCGGGACCAAUUAGUGCAGAGGACAUGGCUAUCACUGGUGCAGGUGCACGCCUUCAUGCCCAAGAUGCAUCCACGCUUCCAUUAAUGUAUGAUUUUGAGGAACUUGAAGGAGAAGUGGAUUUUCUUACUCGUGUUGUUGCACUCACAUUUUAUCCUACUGCGGAUGGUGGAGGUCCUAUAACUCUCGGUGAGAUUGAGAUACUUGGAGUAUGUCUUCCAUGGAGGUACAUAUUGAAACAUGAAGGCUCUGGCACUGGAUUUUCUAAACAAGCAGAAACCCAUCAUGAUGUUACUAAUCCUUUUCUGACUGAGCCCGGGGAAAAUCCUUUCGCUUCUUCUUUAACCACUGGUACACAAACGAACUCGUCUGCUGACUUAUGGGUAGACCUUUUAACAGGCGAAAGCAGAAUUUCAGAUUCUAACAGGCAGCCAGUGGCUGAAACUGUCUUCCAUGGCGGAGAUGACCUGCUUGACUUCUUGGAUGAUGCUUUUGUCCAACAACCAAAGGAAGCUAACAUUUUUUUCAACAGCACGUCUAAAGGGCUUACUGACAAUAACACUCAACGGUAUUUGGAUUGUUUCAAACUCCUUGUGGGACCCAAAAUGGAGAGAAAGAUUAGCUACAUGGAAGCUAUGAAACUUGAAAUUGAACGCUUCCGCUUGAACCUCUCUGCUGCUGAAAGGGAUAGGGCAUUGUUGUCAAUUGGCGUUGACCCUGCUAGUAUAAAUCCAAAUCUACUUCUUGACAAUUCUCGUAUGGGAGGAUUCUGCAGGGUAGCAAAUGUCCUUGCUUUGCUUGGACAGGCUUCUCUUGAGGAUAAAAUUACUGCUUCUGUUGGUCUUGAGAUUGCCGAUGAUAGCGCUGUAGAUUUCUGGAAUAUAGCAGGAAUAGGGGAAAGAUGUAUUGGUGGGGCAUGCCAAGUUCAUUAUGAAGAUGGGCCUGUAUUAAAUAUGCCUUCUGUAUCAUCAACUUCAGCUGCUGCACAGACCUCUUUUGUGUGUUCUGAAUGUGAAAGAAAGGUCUGUAAAGUUUGUUGUGCAGGGAAAGGAGCUCUUUUACUUGCUAUGUUUAACUCCAAGGAGGUUCCCAGCUACAAUGGUGUGAGCAGCCAGGGGGGAGCAAUCUAUGUAAACUCAGUUGAUUUAUCCUCAAAUCAUUCCAUGACACUUGAUGGUGUCAUUUGCAGAGCCUGCUGCAUUGAUGUUGUGCUUGAGGCUUUAAUGUUGGACUACAUCAGGGUUUUGGUUGGCCAGAGGAGAAAAGCCCGUGCAGAUAGUUCUGCUCAAAAAGCUGUAGACCAUGUCCUCAAAUUUACUUUGGGGGAUUGUCAAUCCACACCAACUGCAUAUCCGGAAUUGUUGAAUGGAGAGGAAUCACUUGCUGAAUUUCCUUUUGCAAGCUUUUUGCACCCGGUUGAAACUGCACCAGGAUCUGCACCAUUCAUGUCGUUGCUUGCUCCAUUGAAUUCUGGAGCACAAGAUUCAUUUUGGAGAGCUCCUCUCAGUGCUUCCUCUGUUGAUUUUGUCAUUGUCCUUGGUGAUUUAUCUGAUGUUUCUGG
rnacentral:misc_RNA from 1 species